rnacentral:rRNA from 1 species
GGCCCUUAUGGGUAGGGCUUCACACGUCAUACAAUGGUCGGUACAGAGGGUUGCCAAGCCGCGAGGUGGAGCCAAUCCCUUAAAGCCGAUCGUAGUCCGGAUCGUAGUCUGCAACUCGACUACGUGAAGUCGGAAUCGCUAGUAAUCGCAGAUCAGCAUGCUGCGGUGAAUACGUUCCCGGGUCUU